CGGCGGACGGGUGAGUAACGCGUGGGUAACCUGCCUCAUACAGGGGGAUAACAGUUGGAAACGGCUGCUAAUACCGCAUAAGCGCACAGUACCGCAUGGUACCGUGUGAAAAACUCCGGUGGUAUGAGAUGGACCCGCGUCUGAUUAGCUAGUUGGUGAGGUAACGGCCCACCAAGGCGACGAUCGGUAGCCGGACUGAGAGGUUGAACGGCCACAUUGGGACUGAGACACGGCCCAG
rnacentral:rRNA from 1 species